rnacentral:rRNA from 1 species
UACGUAGGGUGCGAGCGUUAAUCGGAAUUACUGGGCGUAAAGCGUGCGCAGGCGGUGAUGUAAGACCGAUGUGAAAUCCCCGGGCUUAACCUGGGAACUGCAUUGGUGACUGCAUCGCUCGAGUAUGGCAGAGGGGGGUAGAAUUCCACGUGUAGCAGUGAAAUGCGUAGAGAUGUGGAGGAAUACCGAUGCGAAGGCAGCCCCCUGGGUCAAUACUGACGCUCAUGCACGAAAGCGUGGGGAGCAAACAGG